AUUGAACGCUGGCGGCAUGCCUUACACAUGCAAGUCGAACGGCAGCGGACCUUCGGGUGCCGGCGAGUGGCGAACGGGUGAGUAAUAUAUCGGAACGUACCUUUCAGUGGGGGAUAACGUAGCGAAAGUUACGCUAAUACCGCAUACGUCCUGAGGGAGAAAGCGGGGGAUCGCAAGACCUCGCGCGAUUGGAGCGGCCGAUAUCGGAUUAGCUAGUUGGUGGGGUAAAGGCUCACCAAGGCGACGAUCCGUAGCGGGUCUGAGAGGACGACCCGCCACACUGGAACUGAGACACGGUCCAGACUCCUACGGGAGGCAGCAGUGGGGAAUUUUGGACAAUGGGGGCAACCCUGAUCCAGCCAUGCCGCGUGAGUGAUGAAGGCCUUAGGGUUGUAAAGCUCUUUCACCCACGACGAUAAUGACGGUAGUGGGAGAAGAAGCCCCGGCUAACUUCGUG
rnacentral:rRNA from 1 species